rnacentral:rRNA from 1 species
UACGUAGGGCGCAAGCGUUAUCCGGAAUUAUUGGGCGUAAAGAGCUCGUAGGCGGUUUGUCGCGUCUGCCGUGAAAGUCCGGGGCUCAACUCCGGAUCUGCGGUGGGUACGGGCAGACUAGAGUGAUGUAGGGGAGACUGGAAUUCCUGGUGUAGCGGUGAAAUGCGCAGAUAUCAGGAGGAACACCGAUGGCGAAGGCAGGUCUCUGGGCUUUAACUGACGCUGAGGAGCGAAAGCAUGGGGAGCGAACAGG